rnacentral:rRNA from 1 species
AUUGAACGCUGGCGGCAUGCCUUACAUAUGCAAGUCGAACGGUAACAGGUCUUCGGAUGCUGACGAGUGGCGAACGGGUGAGUAAUACAUCGGAACGUGCCCGAGAGUGGGGGAUAACGAGGCGAAAGCUUUGCUAAUACCGCAUACGAUCUCAGGAUGAAAGCAGGGGACCGCAAGGCCUUGCGCUCACGGAGCGGCCGAUGGCAGAUUAGGUAGUUGGUGGGAUAAAAGCUGACCAAGCCGACGAUCUGUAGCUGGUCUGAGAGGACGACCAGCCAGACUGGGACUGAGACACGGCCCAGACUCCUACGGGAGGCAGCAGUGGGGAAUUUUGGACAAUGGGCGCAAGCCUGAUCCAGCCAUGCCGCGUGCAGGAUGAAGGCCUUCGGGUUGUAAACUGCUUUUGUACGGAACGAAAAGACUCUGGUUAAUACCUGGGGUCCAUGACGGUACCGUAAGAAUAAGCACCGGCUAACUACGUGCCAGCAGCCGCCGCCGUAA